rnacentral:rRNA from 1 species
GAUGAACGCUAGCUACAGGCUUAACACAUGCAAGUCGAGGGGAAACGACAUCGAAAGCUUGCUUUUGAUGGGCGUCGACCGGCGCACGGGUGAGUAACGCGUAUCCAACCUGCCCACCACUUGGGGAUAACCUUGCGAAAGUAAGACUAAUACCUAAUGAUAUCUAUAGAAGACAUCUGAAAGAGAUUAAAGAUUUAUCGGUGAUGGAUGGGGAUGCGUCUGAUUAGCUUGUUGGCGGGGUAACGGCCCACCAAGGCGACGAUCAGUAGGGGUUCUGAGAGGAAGGUCCCCCACAUUGGAACUGAGACACGGUCAAAACUCCUACGGGAGGCAGCAGUGAGGAAUAUUGGUCAAGGGGCGAGAGCCUGAACCAGCCAAGUAGCGUGCAGGAUGACGGCCCUAUGGGUUGUAAACUGCUUUUAUAAGGGAAUAAAGUGAGUCUCGUGAGACUUUUUGCAUGUACCUUAUGAAUAAGGACCGGCUAAUUCCGUGCCAGCCGCCGCCGUAA